GAUCCUGGCUACAGGAUGAACGUUGGCGGUGUAGCCUAAUACAUGCAAGUCGAACGGUGACGAUUUGUAGCGAAUACGAAUGAAAUCAUAGUGGCGAACGGGUGAGUAACGCGUUGGUGAUACUGCCUCGAAGUGUGGAAUAACUUCCCGAAAGGGUAGCUAAUACCGCAUAGUCUCUCAGGGUUUAGAAAACUGAGAGUAAAGGAUUUAUUCGCUUCGAGAGGAGCCUGCGUCCCAUCAGCUAGUUGGUAGGUAACGGCCUACCAAGGCAAUGACGGGUAGGGGACCUGAGAGGGUGGCCCCCACAAUGGAACUGAAACACGGUCCAUACACCUACGGGUGGCAGCAGGUAGGGAAUAUUAGAAAUGGGCGAAAGCCUGAUCUAGCAACACCGCGUGUGCGAUGAAGGCCUUCGGGUCGUAAAGCACUUUUGGAGGGAAUAGGAAGGAAGGUACCUCCAGAAUAAGUCUCGGCUAACUACGUGCCAGCCGCUGC
rnacentral:rRNA from 1 species